CGGGGAGCGAGGACGAGUCUGCUCGGUCUUCCAAGAAAUUCGUUCGACGCGUUCAAGAUUGAAGUCAUUUAAGUGGUCCUGAUCACCGGCAGGCUGGACACAACGACUGAGGGACGGAGACAACGAACUUUGUGCUUCAUGCACGAACGUUGAUGCGUGAAUUAGAGGAGCCGAGAGUGCAUUUUACACCUGGAUUACACAAGCAAGGAAGCAUGUUUUUCAGGUUACGUCAAGCGAUGUCGUAAAUGGGUGAGUCAAUCGUCUACUGUGGUUGGUGUUACGUUCUGCGGAAGAAACGGAAGUUGGGGAAGAACAGCUAUCCAAAGGUGUGGAAGAGAUAAAGAAGCGUGACCACAGAGCAGCUGCAGUGGUGAAGGAGAGACGCAGUGGUCAUCGU